UGGACAGUGUAACCGGCCCGCCUCAAACCCUAAAGGGAAGAAUCAACGAAAUGGAGUUCGUCUCUCCUCUGCGUGCGACGGCGACGGCGACUUCGUGACGUUUGUGCUUCUUCAAAAUAUUUGAAACGGUCAAGAGUUAUGGCGUCGUGUUAUGAGGGCUUCAAUGUGUCGUUUAGAUCUGCAAGUCGUUUAGAUCUGCAAGACGGUGUGUUUUCGGUAUAAAUAUGUGAGUGUUUCUCUUCUUGAACUCAUCCUCUCUUCUCCGAUUUGAAGUCCGGCAAGAAUUUUUUUCUCCGAUUUGAAGUCAGGCUAAACUUGCUCUAGAGGCUCUUGAAGUUCCUGUGGGAUGUGUCAUUCUUGAGGAGGGUAACAUCGUUGCUUCAGGGCGUAACCGAACUAAUGAGACAAGCAAUAGAGGCCACAAGACAUGCAGAGAUGGAAGCAAUCGAUGAACUUAUUGGACAAUGGCAAAAAGAUAGACUUUGACCUUUACAAGUCGCUGAGAAUUUCUCGAAAUGCGUUCUUUACGUAACAUGUGAACCUUGCAUAAUGUGUGCAUCGACCUUAUCCUUCCUCGGUAUAAAGGAAGUAUAUUAUGCAUGCGGUAAUGAUAAAUUUGGGGUUGUGGUUCUAUAUUGUCGCUUCACUUAGAGUGUUCUCAGACAUAAGAUAUCCUUUUGAAGAAGCUCAAAGAGGAAAAGGGUACAAGUGCAGAGGAAUAAUGGCAGACGAAGCUGUAUCUCUUUUCAAAUGUUUCUAUGAGAGGCAAUCCAUACAUUUUAGCCCCAAAGCCACACCGCCCUGUAGUUCAAAGAGAGAGGACUUAGCAUCUUAGAGGCGAACUUGGUUUGAAAAUUGGAGUUUCUGAUUAAAAUAUGAAGAAGUUGAGGUGGAGGUUGUCAAAUGAUGAUUCUAUGUUUGAUUUUGCUACUUUUGGCACAUGAAACGUUAUCAGUUACAUCCAAAACAUUUGUUUAUCUGCCUAAGUUGGAGAUCUCAAUCUUAAGCUACUAAGUUGGUUUUCUAACUUAAGGAAUUAGUUGUCUGUGACUGUAACGUUUUCUUCUUGUACGGGUAGAUGAUAGACAUGACCAUCAUUAGAAGAAUAAAAGAUUAACUAUGUUUUUAUCUUUUUCCUUGGAUCAAAUCUCUGUUUCUAUCUCUUUCCUUUAACCCAGACAAGUAACACUCUUAACAUACUUAUUUUUUCUACCCAUAUUGGUUGGUUUUAUGGUUAAUUUGUCAAGUAAACACACAAGUGUUCAAAAUGCAUGCAUAGAUGAUAUUUAUGACGAAAAGAAAGAUGACAAGUUAAAUAAAGGUGUGUAGAGAAGCUGAACUAUGCGCUGCUGCUGAUUGAAAUGCAACUUGGACAGGAAACAAAGGUGGGAGAAUACAUAUUGAAGCCAAAGACAAUAGAAAGAGAGAAGACUUUCGUUCUUCUGGACAUCCCGCACCGCCGCACGUAACUCACUACUUCAGGAGGUGGUGGUUGUGGUGUAACUGAGAAGAAGAAAUGAUGGUGUGUUUCUUUGCAGGGCUGGUAUUGUGUUUCUUUGCAGGGCUGGUAGUGGUGGUGGUGUAAGUGUGUAACUGAGAAGAAGAAAUGAUGCAAUGACUGAGUUCAAAGCUCUCUUUUUUUAUUUUUUAGAGUUUCCGCCUAAUUAAUGUUACACCACCACCACCAUACACUAUACUAAAAGGAGAAUAAGAUCACCAAUUAGCCUGUCCAUGUAGACACGAAAAAUCAGCCAAUAGAAAGACUCAAACAUGCAAUGCCAGCUCAGCUUAAAUCGAAAUUAUAAAUUCUGGGCUAGUUUAAAUCCAGAUUAAUAAAUUCUGGGUUUUUCAUAUGGGCUCAUGAUAUAUUUCAGAAAAUGUCCAGUUUUGAACUCCUAAAUAUUCGUUUCUUACACCUUUCAUAGAACGGAGGGGUCGCUCGAUCGAUUUGGUUAACACAGUUCGUCUUCUCCGUUUAUCCCUGCAAAUCUACAUAACCACAACCCCUCUUGACCAAUCAAUUUAUGUCCUAACAAAUCAAAAUAAGAAAAGCUCCCAUAUUAUUUAGUUUAUAUUUGUCAAAAAACACAAAAUAAUUUUUGGUGAGAACACUACUUUAGGACCUUUGACGUUCUCGAUUCUCUUGAUCUCAGUUUCACAAAGUUAUCAAACAUCUUCAAUUAAUCUCUUCAAAUUCUUUCAACCAUUUAUUUGUCCCUUAAUUCAGUUUUUAUGUUCUUUGAGCUCCUUCAAAUUAUUUCAAGAAUUUCCUUUUCCCUCAAAUCAGCUCAUCUAUUCUAUGAACAACUACAUCUCAAAGAUUUCAAAAAGAAGUUUCAUAUACGACAACAAAGACAAGCGACACUAACAAAGGAGAAUUAGAUUGGGAAGGCACACAUAAGCAAGAAGAAUAAGAUACUGGAGAAGAACAUGGUUAUCGUCCUCACAUAUUAUUAAGAUGAGAUCUGAUGGAAGAGUGAGAUGGUUGGAGGUGGUGAUGAUGGCAGAUUUCGUUUAUCAAUUGAAGAAGAAGGU